GCCGAUGUAGCUCAGUGGUAGAGCGCUUGCUUCCCAAGCAAGAUAUGCGGGUUCGAUUCCCGUCAUCGGCUCCG
rnacentral:tRNA from 2 species